rnacentral:tRNA from 1 species
GGAGGGGUGGCUGAGUGGUUGAAGGCGGCGGUCUUGAAAACCGUUGAGCCGUUCACACGGUUCCGUGGGUUCGAAUCCCACCCCCUCCGCCA